AUAACAGAACUCCAAAAAGACAUUAACCUCUACCAAAAGACACACUUACUAGCUCUGUGGGUUGAGAUAAGGCAGAGGCCGGCCAAAUAAAGACCCAAACGAAUAAAAAAAAAAAGUGAUGGGCCAACAGUCGGGAGGCGUGUGUUCUACCUCAAGGCCAUGGCCACCCACUACCUGUUACUUUUGUGACAUUCUGUCGCGUCUCUGCCCCCUUUCCCCACCUGUCAAGUGUAGACACUGGACUGGAAUAAUGAUCUGUCUCCAACAUGUGGGUGCUCAUUCGCUCAACAAAAGCAAGAGACCGUUGUCUCCUCAAGAAACUAAAGUGAAAAAGCCACCUCAGCCUUCAACGUAAGGAGGGAACACGCAGCAGGCUUGGAGGAUACUGAGCAGAGGUCUGUAUGUCCAACUGGAAGUUUCUUAUUGAAAAUCUCAGCGGAACGGAGGAACAUAGCUUCAACCGCAGACCCUUUCAACAGAGCAAUCUGGUCUUCAUGGUCCAAUGUCUGAAAUCCUGCAUACAGCAACUGGCACAUAUCUGGCACCCAAGAUACAUUUGUUGGGCAACUGUGUGACGGACUGUCUGACUAAGUGUGUGAGAAACAAAACACAAGCUGGUGUGCAUGCUGUUACACACAUGAAUACAAAUAUGUAUAAAUAAUGCCACCUGGAUCUCAUUGGCUUAGAAAACUGAAAACAACAUGGGAGCUUUAAGAGGACUAUGCAAAGGAUUAAGAAUCAGUGACAUGGAAUAUGCAUCAUGGCGCAGCAGGUACAUCACAGAUGUGAUUGAGCCCCAGGUUCACUUCGGAUUCAACCUUCUGCUAAAUGUGCCUGGAAGACAGAGGGUGAUGAUCCAGGAACUUGGCAGGGUAUUGGGAAUGAAGAUACUUAAGGUAUCGCCAUUGCUCUCAGACAAGGGACAUUCCUAUAAAUCAGACUUGUUGGCUUCAAUUAUUUCUUGGCUCCAGAUCAACUGACCAUUUGAACUGAAAAGUCUUCACCC